AAAACUAGCCAGUCUUUUGGGUAUGAAACCCAUUUGGGUGAGAGUAGUACUAGGAUGGGUGACCUCCUGGGAAGUCCUCAUGAAAGGGUUUC
rfam:Triticum aestivum genome assembly, contig: Triticum_aestivum_CS42_TGACv1_scaffold_321263_4BL